rnacentral:rRNA from 1 species
UACGUAGGGUGCAAGCGUUAAUCGGAAUUACUGGGCGUAAAGCGUGCGCAGGCGGUUGUGUAAGACAGAUGUGAAAUCCCCGGGCUCAACCUGGGAACUGCAUUUGUGACUGCACAGCUGGAGUGCGGCAGAGGGGGAUGGAAUUCCGCGUGUAGCAGUGAAAUGCGUAGAUAUGCGGAGGAACACCGAUGGCGAAGGCAGUCCCCUGGGACUGCACUGACGCUCAUGCACGAAAGCGUGGGGAGCAAACAGG